GAUGAACGCUGGCGGCGGGCCUAAUACAUGCAAGUCGAGCGAAUAGACGAGGAGUUCGCCUGUCUGACGCUACCGGCGGGCGGGUGAGUACCAGGAGUAUACCCUACCUAUAGGACUGAGAUAAGUUCGGGAAACCGAAGCCAACAUAGGUCAAGAUAUUGAACCGGGGGGUUCAAUAGAGAACGACGGUUCUGCUGACCCUAAUUGGUGGAACCGGGUCGCAUUAGCUAGUUGGUACGGUAACGGCUUACCAAGGCGACGAUGCGUAGCCGACCUGAGAGGAUGAUCGGCCACACUGGAACUGAGACACGGUCCAGACUCCUACGGGAGGCAGCAGUGGGGAAUCUUCCGCAAUGGGCGAAAGCCUGACGCAGCCACGCCGCGUGUGUGAAGAAGGUCUUCGGAUCGUAAAACUCUGUUAUUAGGGAAGAAGAGAUGUGUAAGUAACUAUGCACGUCUUGACGGUACCAAAACAAAAAGCCACGGCUAACUACGUG
rnacentral:rRNA from 1 species